AUUGAACGCUGGCGGCAGGCCUGACACAUGCAAGUCGAGCGGAUGAAGGGAGCUUGCUCCUGGAUUCAGCGGCGGACGGGUGAGUAAUGCCUAGGAAUCUGCCUGGUAGUGGGGGAUAACGUCCGGAAACGGGCGCUAAUACCGCAUACGUCCUGAGGGAGAAAGUGGGGGAUCUUCGGACCUCACGCUAUCAGAUGAGCCUAGGUCGGAUUAGCUAGUUGGUGGGGUAAAGGCCUACCAAGGCGACGAUCCGUAACUGGUCUGAGAGGAUGAUCAGUCACACUGGAACUGAGACACGGUCCAGACUACUACGGGAGGCAGCAGUGGGGAAUAUUGGACAAUGGGCGAAAGCCUGAUCCAGCCAUGCCGCGUGUGUGAAGAAGGUCUUCGGAUUGUAAAGCACUUUAAGUUGGGAGGAAGGGCAGUAAGUUAAUACCUUGCUGUUUUGACGUUACCAACAGAAUAAGCACCGGCUAACUUCGUG
rnacentral:rRNA from 1 species